rnacentral:rRNA from 1 species
UGGGGAAUAUUGGACAAUGGGCGAAAGCCUGAUCCAGCAAUGCCGCGUGAGUGAAGAAGGCCUUAGGGUUGUAAAGCUCUUUCGCCUGCGACGAUGAUGACGGUAGCAGGAGAAGAAGCCCCGGCUAAUUCCGUGCCAGCAGCCGCGGUAAUACGGAAGGGGCUAGCGUUGUUCGGAAUUACUGGGCGUAAAGCGCGCGUAGGCGGCUGGACAAGUGAGGCGUGAAAGUCCUGGGCUCAACCCGGGGACGGCGCUUCAGACUGUUCGGCUAGAGUCCGGAAGAGGGUGGUGGAAUUCCGAGUGUAGAGGUGAAAUUCGUAGAUAUUCGGAGGAACACCGGUGGCGAAGGCGGCCACCUGGUCCGGUACUGACGCUCAAGUGCGAAAGCGUGGGGAGCAAACAGG